ACAUCUUCUAGAGGCAGA
rnacentral:siRNA from 1 species